rnacentral:rRNA from 1 species
UACGUAGGGGGCAAGCGUUGUCCGGAUUUAUUGGGCGUAAAGCGCUCGCAGGUGGUUCAUUGCGUCGUGCGUGAAAGACCCCGGCUCAACUGGGGAGGGUCGUGCGAAACGGGUGAACUAGAGGCCAGUAGGGGGAUGCGGAAUUCCGGGUGUAGUGGUGGAAUGCGUAGAGAUCCGGAGGAACACCAGCGGCGAAGGCGGCAUCCUGGACUGGUCCUGACACUCAGGAGCGAAAGCGUGGGGAGCGAACGAGG